CCCCUAGCUCUUAUAGCCCCACAACCCCCCUAGGCGCCGUGUGCUUGGUUUUAGGUUGGGGCGACCGCGGAGUACAAUAAAACCUCCACAAUGAAUGGGAACACCCCCUUAUCUGAGGGCCACACCCCCUAAGAAUUAGAACACUAACAUAAAAUGAUCCAUUACUUGAUCAAUGAACCAAGUUACCCUGGGGAUAACAGCGCAAUCCAUUUCAAGAGCCCCUAUCGACAAAUGGGUUUACGACCUCGAUGUUGGAUCAGGGUACCCCAGUGGUGCAGCAGCUACUAACGGUUCGUUUGUUCAACGAUUAAAACCCU
rnacentral:rRNA from 1 species